rnacentral:rRNA from 1 species
ACUGCGCCGAAAAUGUACCGGGGCUAAACAUAUUACCGAAGCUGUGGAUUGUCCGUAGGACAAUGGUAGGAGAGCGUUCUAAGGGCGUUGAAGCAUGAUCGCAAGGACAUGUGGAGCGCUUAGAAGUGAGAAUGCCGGUGUGAGUAGCGAAAGACGGGUGAGAAUCCCGUCCACCGAUUGACUAAGGUUUCCAGAGGAAGGCUCGUCCGCUCUGGGUUAGUCGGGUCCUAAGCUGAGGCCGAUAGGCGUAGGCGAUGGAUAACAGGUUGAUAUUCCUGUACCACCAUGAAUCGUUUUAAGCGAUGGGGGGACGCAGUAGGAUAGGCGAAGCGUACGAUUGGAUUGUACGUCCAAGCAGUAAGACUGAGUGUUAGGCAAAUCCGGCACUCAUAAGGUCAAGCUGUGAUGGGGAGAGGAAAUUGUUUCCUCGAGUCGUUGAUUUCACACUGCCGAGAAAAGCCUCUAGCUAGAUUUAUGGUGCCCGUACCGCAAACCGACACAGGUAGUCAAGAUGAGAAUUCUAAGGUGAGCGAGCGAACUCUCGUUAAGGAACUCGGCAAAAUGACCCCGUAACUUCGGGAGAAGGGGUGCUCUUUAGGGUUCACGCCCAGGAGAGCCGCAGUGAAUAGGCCCAAGCGACUGUUUAUCAAAAACACAGGUCUCUGCUAAACCGUAAGGUGAUGUAUAGGGGCUGACGCCUGCCCGGUGCUGGAAGGUUAAGAGGAGUGGUUAGCUUCUGCGAAGCUACGAAUCGAAGCCCCAGUAAACGGCGGCCGUAACUAUAACGGUCCUAAGGUAGCGAAAUUCCUUGUCGGGUAAGUUCCGACCCGCACGAAAGGCGUAACGAUUUGGGCACUGUCUCAACGAGAGACUCGGUGAAAUCAUAGUACCUGUGAAGAUGCAGGUUACCCGCGACAGGACGGAAAGACCCCGUGGAGCUUUACUGUAGUCUGAUAUUGAAAUUCGGUACAGCUUGUACAGGAUAGGUAGGAGCCUUAGAUACGUGAGCGCUAGCUUACGUGGAGGCGUUGGUGGGAUACUACCCUCGCUGUAUUGGAUUUCUAACCCGCACCAUUAAUCAUGGUGGGAGACAGUGUCAGAUGGACAGUUUGACUGGGGCGGUCGCCUCCUAAAGAGUAACGGAGGCGCUCAAAGGUUUCCUCAGAAUGGUUGGAAAUCAUUCAUAGAGUGUAAAGGCACAAGGAAGCUUGACUGCGAGACUUACAAGUCGAGCAGGGUCGAAAGACGGACUUAGUGAUCCGGUGGUUCCGCAUGGAAGGGCCAUCGCUCAACGGAUAAAAGCUACCCCGGGGAUAACAGGCUUAUCUCCCCCAAGAGUUCACAUCGACGGGGAGGUUUGGCACCUCGAUGUCGGCUCAUCGCAUCCUGGGGCUGUAGUCGGUCCCAAGGGUUGGGCUGUUCGCCCAUUAAAGCGGUACGCGAGCUGGGUUCAGAACGUCGUGAGACAGUUCGGUCCCUAUCCGUCGUGGGCGUAGGAAAUUUGAGAGGAGCUGUCCUUAGUACGAGAGGACCGGGAUGGACAUACCUCUGGUGUACCAGUUGUCGUGCCAACGGCAUCGCUGGGUAGCUAUGUAUGGACGGGAUAAGUGCUGAAAGCAUCUAAGCAUGAAGCCCCCCUCAAGAUGAGAUUUCCCAACUUCGGUUAUAAGAUCCCUCAAAGAUGAUGAGGUUAAUAGGUUCGAGGUGGAAGCAUAGCGAUAUGUGGAGCUGACGAAUACUAAUCGAUCGAAGACUUAAUCAA